rnacentral:rRNA from 1 species
GACGAACGCUGGCGGCGUGCUUAACACAUGCAAGUCGAACGAAGUGGCGAACGGGUGAGUAAUACGUGGGUAGCCUGCCCUACUUUUUGGGAUAAGCCUUGGGAACGGGGUCUAAUACCGAAUAAAGGGGGAUGGGAUCGCGGCCUAUCAGCUUGUUGGUGGGGUGAUGGCCUACCAAGGCGGGGACGGGUAGCCGGCCUGAGAGGGGGACCGGCGACAGUGGGACGGAGAUAACGCCCAGGCUAGUACGAGAGGCAGAAUUGGGGAAAAUGGCACAAUGGGCGAAAGCGUGAUGCAGCGAGUCCGCGUGGGGGAUGCAGGCUGUCGAGUUGUAAACGUCUUUAGCAAGCGAACGGGUAGGCGGAGAAGAAGCGCCGGCUAACUACGUGCCAGCAGCCGCGGUAAUUC